rnacentral:rRNA from 1 species
AGUGAAUAGAUACCCUGGUAGUCCCAGCUGUAAACGAUGCGCGUUAGGUGUAUCGGUGACCACGAGUCACCGAGGUGCCGAAGGGAAACCGUGAAACGUGCCGCCUGGGAAGUACGGUCGCAAGGCUGAAACUUAAAGGAAUUGGCGGGGGAGCACCACAACAGGUGGAGCCUGCGGUUUAAUCGGACUCAACGCCGGGAAGCUCACCGGAUAAGACAGCUGAAUGAUAGCCGGGUUGAAGACUCUGCUUGACUAGCUGAGAGGAGGUGCAUGGCCGUCGUCAGUUCGUACUGUGAAGCAUCCUGUUAAGUCAGGCAACGAGCGAGACCCACGCCAACAGUUGCCAGCAUGUCCUCCGGGAUGGUGGGGACACUGUUGGGACCGCCUCUGCUAAAGAGGAGGAAGGAAUGGGCAACGGUAGGUCAGCAUGCCCCGAAUUAUCCGGGCUACACGCGGGCUACAAUGGUCAGGACAAUGGGUAUCAACACCGAAAGGUGAAGGCAAUCUCCUAAACCUGUCCUUAGUUCGGAUUGUGGG